rnacentral:rRNA from 1 species
AAGUAAAAGUCGUAACAAGGUUUCCGUAGGUGAACCUGCGGAAGGAUCAUUAUCGUAUAACUGAGGCACGAGGGUUGUCGCUGACUUUUUCGUCGUGCACGCCCGAGUGUUCUCAAACAUCCAUCUCACCCCUAUGUGCACCACCGCGUGGGUCCCCUUUAGUAGGGGGGCUCGCGUUUUCACACAAACUAGAUACAGUGUAGAAUGUCUUCUUUGCGAUCACACGCAAUAAUACAACUUCUGGAUUGCAGAAUUCAGUGAAUCAUCGAAUCUUUGAACGCACCUUGCGCCCCUUGGCAUUCCGAGGGGCACACCAGUUUGAGUGUCGUGGAAUUCUCAAAAACCUUUCCUUUUGGGAAGGAUUUUGGACUUGGAGGCUUUUUGCUGGUUUCACCUCGAAGCGAGCUCCUCCUAAAUGAAUUAGUGGGGUCUGCUUUGCCGGUCCUUGACGUGAUAAGAUGUUUCUACGUCUUGGGUUUGGCACUGUCACUUGGGCACCUGCUUCUAACCGUCUCAUCGACAAUGAUGGCGUUCCGGUCACCACCGUUUCAUCGGUGGGAGGCUUGACCCACAAAGAAAACCUUGACCUCAAAUCGAGUGAGACUACCCGCUGAACUUAAGCAUAUCAAUAAGCGGAGGAAG